rnacentral:rRNA from 1 species
GGUUACUGCUAUCGAGGUUCCACUAAGCCAUGCCAGACGAAUGUAUCAAUACCUGGCGUACUGCCCAGUAACUCAUAGACAACCUACCCUUAGGCCUGGGAUAACCCCGGGAAACUGGGAAUAAUACCGGAUAUCUCGCGAAUGCUGGAAUGCGUCGCGAUAGAAAGCUCCGGCGCCUAAGGAUGGGUCUGCGACCUAUCAGGUAGUAGUGGGUGUAACGUACCUACUAGCCUACGACGGGUACGGGUUGUGAGAGCAAGAGCCCGGAGAUGGAUUCUGAGACACGAAUCCAGGCCCUACGGGGUGCAGCAGGCGCGAAAACUUUACAAUGCUGGAAACAGCGAUAAGGGGACCUCGAGUGCCAGGAUACAAUCCUGGCUGUCGUAAUGCCUAAAAAGCAUUGCAUACAAGGGCCGGGCAAGACCGGUGCCAGCCGCCGCGGUAACACCGGCGGCUCGAGUGGUAACCGCUAUUAUUGGGUCUAAAGGGUCUGUAGCCGGCUGACUAAGUCUCUUGGGAAAUCUGACAGCUUAACUGUCAGGCUUUCAGGAGAUACUGAUCGGCUCGAGACCGGGAGAGGUGAGAGGUACCUCAGGGGUAGGGGUGAAAUCUUGUAAUCCUUGAGGGACCACCAGUGGCGAAGGCGUCUCACCAGAACGGAUCUGACGGCAAGGGACGAAAGCUAGGGGCACGAACCGGAUUAGAUACCCGGGUAGUCCUAGCCGGAAACGAUACUCGCUAGGUGUCGGCCACGGUGCGACCGUGGUCGGUGCCGUAGGGAAGCCGUGAAGCGAGCCACCUGGGAAGUACGGCCGCAAGGCUGAAACUUAA